AGAGUUUGAUCCUGGCUCAGGAUGAACGCUAGCGGCAGGCCUAAUACAUGCAAGUCGAACGGUGUCUUCGGACAUAGUGGCGCACGGGUGCGUAACACGUAUGCAACCUACCUUACAUUGGGGGAUAGCCUUUCGAAAGGGAGAUUAAUACCGCAUAAGACAGUAACUAGGCAUCUAGUAGCUGUUAAAGAUUUAUCGAUGUAAGCUGGGCAUGCGUCCAAUUAGCUAGUUGGUGAGGUAACGGCUCACCAAGGCUAUGAUUGGUAGGGGAACUGAGAGGUCAAUCCCCCACACUGGCACUGAGAUACGGGCCAGACUCCUACGGGAGGCAGCAGUAGGGAAUAUUGGGCAAUGGACGCAAGUCUGACCCAGCCAUGCCGCGUGCAGGAUGAAGGCGUUAUGCGUUGUAAACUGCUUUUAUACAGGAAGAAACGACUCUUGCGAGAGGCAUUGACGGUACUGUAUGAAUAAGCACCGGCUAACUCCGUGCCAGCAGCCGCGGUAAUACGGAGGGUGCAAGCGUUGUCCGGAUUUAUUGGGUUUAAAGGGUGCGCAGGUGGUUUAUUAAGUCAGUGGUGAAAGACGGUCGCUCAACGAUUGCAGUGCCAUUGAAACUGGUAGACUUGAGUAAAGUAGAGGUGGGCGGAAUUGAUAGUGUAGCGGUGAAAUGCAUAGAUAUUAUCAAGAACUCCAAUUGCGUAGGCAGCUCACUUGGCUUUUACUGACACUCAUGCACGAAAGUGUGGGUAUCAAACAGGAUUAGAUACCCUGGUAGUCCACACUGUAAACGAUGAUAACUA
rnacentral:rRNA from 1 species